rnacentral:lncRNA from 1 species
AGGUGAAGAAAUUGAAAGUUAAACAGAUUGAAAAAUAGCAAGUCAGGAGCCCGCCUGCAGAACAGGGUGAAGAAGUUGAAAGCAUGGCAACAAGUUGAUGAAAUAACAAGUCAGGAACCCGCCUGGAGAAUAGGGUGAAGAAAUGAAAAGUCAAGCAACAAAGUGAAGAAGUUGAAAGAUAAGCAACAAGGUGAAGAAGUUGAAAACAAAGCAACAACGU